rnacentral:rRNA from 1 species
CCUACGGGGGGCAGCAGUGGGGAAUAUUGGACAAUGGGGGGAACCCUGAUCCAGCCAUGCCGCGUGUGUGAAGAAGGCCCUCGGGUUGUAAAGCACUUUCAGUGAGGAAGAACGCCUGGUGGUUAAUACCCAUCAGGAAAGACAUCACUCACAGAAGAAGCACCGGCUAACUCCGUGCCAGCAGCCGCGGUAAUACGGAGGGUGCGAGCGUUAAUCGGAAUUACUGGGCGUAAAGCGCGCGUAGGUGGCUUGAUAAGCCGGUUGUGAAAGCCCCGGGCUCAACCUGGGAACGACAUCCGGAAAUGUCAAGCUAGAGUGCAGGAGAGGAAGGUAGAAUUCCCGGUGUAGCGGUGAAAUGCGUAGAGAUCGGGAGGAAUACCAGUGGCGAAGGCGGCCUUCUGGACUGACACUGACACUGAGGUGCGAAAGCGUGGGUAGCAAACAGGAUUAGAUACCCCAGUAGUC